rnacentral:rRNA from 1 species
AUGUUUGAAACCAGAUCGACAAGGCACUCAACUAUCGUUUUCUGUCGAUUUUAUAGGUGGCUGGAAUCUGGUGAUCGUUGCCUUCCGCGUCGCCAACAACCGAGUGCCAUCCAUGAGAACAAUGGAACCCAGUUCUUAGUGGUGGGCGUAAAAAGUCUACUUCAAGUUCUCCAACCACAAGCAAUUUUGGAUUCCACCAAUCACUGGUUAGAUCUAGCUGCUCUUCUUCUUCUAAAUCUUUCUUUGAGUCAACAGUGCGUAAUUCAUCAUAGAUCUGGUACGAAUUGGUUGCAUGCGGUAUUUUCUGCAUUUUUUUCUUCUAAUAAUGGAGUAGUCAAUGUAUUAGCGAGACCAAAUAAUGGCUAUAUUCGUCUCAAGUUUAUUCAGGAUAUGAGACCCAUUCAUCAUCCCGUUAAUGCAAAUUCUAGUAAAUCAAGUGAGUAUGUUCGUUAG